UCUACGACGCGGAAUUGACGAGGCUCUUCUCCUCUACCACAGAGUCUGCAUUGAUUUUAGGUAUGAUCGUGACAUCUGCAUUGAUAAUAUGGAAGGCGUUGAUGUGUGUGACUGGCACAGAGUCUCCAGUAGUGGAUGUUCUCUCUCGAAGCAUGGAACCUGCCUUUAAGAGAGUUAAGUUUUAAUCUUUUGGUUCUGUUUACUUGACUAUGACCAACCUUGCACAUAAUCUUCGGGUGGUUGUUUUGUAAUCUGUUUGAGGGUAAUGUGACAAGGGGAUAUAUUAUUCUUACAUAUGACCAAGGAUCCCAUUCGAGCAGGCGAGAUGGUUGUAAUUGGUGUUAUGUGUUAUGUCUGUAGUUGCCUCAAUGUGUAUAACACAUCAUUUUUUAAUUGCCUUGAUGUUUCUUCUUUCAGAGUCGUGAUGUACCAUCGUCCAUCGUGCCAUCAAAGUUCAUGAGAGGGAGAAUACAGGAGAAAUUAAUGUUAUAAUAAAAGGUGACAAAAAUGAUGUGGAUAACAUGGGUCUCUAUGCUGAUGGACAGUUUUGGCUUCAUCGGCACCAUAUAAUGGGCAGAGCUGUUGGGUAAGUUUAUGUCCACGGUGGACCGGAAGCAGCAGCUUAUGUAAGAAAAAACGCCAUAAGAAUAUUCUUGAAAGAAGUCAAGAGUUCUUUGAGAAACGUGUUUCUUCAGGCGGAUCUUGGUUUAGCAGAGGAACACAACAUCAGCUCUUCUUACGCUACCACGGCUCUUGCUCCCCUUUUAUGGAAGACACUUAAUGGUGGCAAAUACAGGGGAUUCUUCUCUGUAGGAAUGGUAAUGCCAUACACAUGUCUCAAGAACACAGACCAAUCUACUUACCGGAAAGAAGAAGAGUGGAAGAAUGUGGCGGCUUUGCCAUGACGGUUACUUAAACGGCAGUCUCAGUCACACGAACUCUAGGAUUUGGGCAUGAAACUACCACGAGGGUCACGAUCUCCACUCAUAGCGGAUUCAGAGAUCAAACAUUACGUUUAACAGAGGAAUACGAGUUUCUGAUAAUGGGAUCCGACGGGAUUUGGGACGUUUUGACAAGUCAAGAAGGUGUUAGGCGUGCUGUCACAGUGAUCGGAUGAGAAGUGCUCGAGAGCUUGCUUUGGAGGCUUUAAGGCUAAAUACGUUUGAUAACCCAACGACGCGGUUGGUGUUUGUUUCCUGCUGAUGAUAUGGCGAUGGCGGCUCCUCCAGUGGAGAAGCAACAGUGUUUUAGUUUGGCGGCAGAAGCUUUCAAUAAGAUGGCUGAACUAAAAGAUGAUGACCCUUUUGUGUUCGCGGCUGAGUAUUUUCUUGCUUUUUUAUAUUUUGUGUAUGUAUGCAAGUUCAAAUGUCUACGUACUCCAUUUUUGAGUAGGCGGUUAUUGUUUCGUGCAUGGAUUCAAGUUUAUGUACCUGCUCCAUUUAGCUUAUAUAUAUACAUCGA